GAUGAACGCUGGCGGCGUGCCUAACACAUGCAAGUCGAGCGAACAGACGAGGAGCUUGCUCCUCUGACGUUAGCGGCGGACGGGUGAGUAACACGUGGAUAACCUACCUAUAAGACUGGGAUAACUUCGGGAAACCGGAGAUAAUACCGGAUAAUAUAUUGAACGGCAUGGUUCAAUAGUUAAUGACGGUUUUGCUGUCACCUAUAGACGGAUCCGCGCCGCAUUGGCUAUGUGGUAAGGUAACGGCUUACCAAGGCAACGAUCCGUAGCUGACCUGAGAGGGGGAUCCGCCCCACUGGAACUGAGACACGGUCCAGACUCCUACGGGAGGCAGCAGUAGGGAAUAUUGCGCAAUGGGCGCAAGCUUGACGGAGCCACGCCGCGUGAGUGAUGAAGGUCUUCGGAUCGUAAAACUCUGUUAUUAGGGAAGAACAAAUGUGUAAGUAACUAUGCCCGUCUUGACGGUACCUAAACAAAAAGCCCCGGCUAACUACGUG
rnacentral:rRNA from 1 species